rnacentral:rRNA from 1 species
GAUGAACGCUAGCUACAGGCUUAACACAUGCAAGUCGCGGGGCAGCAUGUCGGUUGCUUGCAACCGAUGAUGGCGACCGGCGCACGGGUGAGUAACGCGUAUCCAACCUGCCCUUCACCACGGAAUAAUCCAGUGAAAAUUGGUCUAAUACCGUAUGAGGUCAUACGAUGGCAUCAGAAUAUGACGAAAGGUUUAGCGGUGAAGGAUGGGGAUGCGUCUGAUUAGCUAGUUGGUGGGGCAACGGCUUACCAAGUCGACGAUCGGUAGCCGGACUGAGAGGUUGAACGGCCACAUUGGAACUGAGAUACGGUCCAGACUCCUACGGGAGGCAGCAGUGGGGAAUAUUGGGCAAUGGGCGCAAGCCUGACCCAGCGACGCCGCGUGAAGGAAGAAGGUCUUCGGAUUGUAAACUUCUGUUGUAAGGGACGAAAAAAAUGACGGUACCUUACGAGGAAGCCACGGCUAACUACGUG